AUAACCUUUAGGGCGUGUUCUCCUUAUUGGUUAUGCCCAGAUUCCACUCCAAAUCCCUUCAUAUCAUAGUGUUUGCCUUCUAUGUUUUAAAAUCGAGAUGGCCCGAUAAAAAAGGACAGGCCCGCACUGUUCACGGGUUUUGGGCCAGAUUUUAAAUCUUCCAAAAGAGAUGAGAUUUUUAAUCUGCAUCGAGCUGUGUACCCAGACUUGGAGGUUAAAUCCCUAAUGUGCCCUUGCUUUUGACGUGUCCAUUGGCGGAAUACACUCCAUCUUCUUCGAAUUGGGGAAGUGAAAAUUUGGAUUCAAAAUCUCAUUCAAUUUGGGGAGCGGCUGGGUCGCGGAGAGGGGAUACCAUAUCCAAAAAUUGCAGGGAAAGAGACCGCAAUUCCCUUUUCAGCUUUUCCUUCCCAUGUAAGGCUCUUCGGUUUCGUGUGAUUUAAUUUGAAGUUUUUUGCUCAUCCGAAAUGAACAUCUGUCUAUUCUGCGACGAUCGUGACCGCUGGUGAUGAUGUUUGGAAGGAGAUCUUUGAGAAAAACUCAUAUGCAAGAGCGUACUACUACACGCAUGAGCCAAUAUUCAAUGAGCUUGCAAUGCUUUUCGGCAUGGACGACGUCAAAUUGGAGCAGCAGUCUCCGACGGUGAUCGUCAUCUCGGACACCACCGUGGUCGAACCAUAUGGAGAUGGGGAUGAGGAAGUUAAUUCACCCGCUAUCUUCCCUACCUCUAAGGUCAAGCGCAAGCUCUUCGUCGACGAGGAUGGUGCUUCUGACCGUGAAUCGACCAACCAGCCACCCAAUCCUCUCAUCAAUGCCGGAGCAGAUGUAGUUGUUGUGAACCGCGUGGCUAAGAGCAACAAGUAUCCCACAAACUCAGCACUAGUCCAAGCGGGUGGAACUCCUCAGCGUGUGAGUCCUAUCACAAGCUCGUGCGCGUCAUCCUCUCCGGCUGCAUGGUGGCGCCAUCAUGAACUUUGAAGAUUCGACCUCGACGAGGAGGCACGUGCAAGUCCAACUACUAUAAAAUAUUAAGUUGUGUGCUAAAAUUAGAGGCAUUGCACUCCACCAUCUUUUGUCUUGUUUCCAAUUUGCAUCUCUGUUUAUGCGUAUGUAACAUUUUUUGAUCUUGAAAAAUUCGUAUGGUGUUUGAAGUUGUAACCAAACCAAGGAAUGGAGUAGCUAAAUAUUAUGUGUGUACUAGUUGUACGUCACCAAGUAGUUGGUUUUCAUGUUGAAAUAGAACCAUGGAAUGAAGUUUAACUAUUGGGCAUGGAUUUAUUGUGUCUAUUUUA